rnacentral:rRNA from 1 species
UAGGGAAUCUUCGGCAAUGGGGGCAACCCUGACCGAGCAACGCCGCGUGAGUAGAAGAAGGUUUUCGGAUCGUAAAGCUCUGUUGUAAGUCAAGAACGGGUGUGAGAGUGGAAAGUUCACACUGUGACGGUAGCUUACCAGAAAGGGACGGCUAACUACGUGCCAGCAGCCGCGGUAAUACGUAGGUCCCGAGCGUUGUCCGGAUUUAUUGGGCGUAAAGCGAGCGCAGGCGGUUUGAUAAGUCUGAAGUUAAAGGCUGUGGCUCAACCAUAGUUCGCUUUGGAAACUGUCAAACUUGAGUGCAGAAGGGGAGAGUGGAAUUCCAUGUGUAGCGGUGAAAUGCGUAGAUAUAUGGAGGAACACCGGUGGCGAAAGCGGCUCUCUGGUCUGUAACUGACGCUGAGGCUCGAAAGCGUGGGGAGCGAACAGGAUUAGAUACCCUGGUAGUCCACGCCGUAAACGAUGAGUGCUAGGUGUUGGAUCCUUUCCGGGAUUCAGUGCCGCAGCUAACGCAUUAAGCACUCCGCCUGGGGAGUACGACCGCAAGGUUGAAACUCU